rnacentral:miRNA from 1 species
AGCAAAUCUGUUGGUUUGUACAAAC